AUAUUUACAAUAAUUCGAUAAACAUACUGACCCCGCUGACGGUUUCUGUGUUUUGUUUUUAGUUGUUUUAAUUUGUUCAAACUGUAAGUAGGCGUAUUAAAUAUGAGUGGACAGUUAAGUGAACGUGAUAAUGCCAUUGUGAAUUGUAUUUUUAAUCCAAAUUUGCCCAUUGGGGAAGGUAUCCAGUGUGAGGAACUUAAAGAUGUAGAAACAUUAUCUGAAGAUCAAGAAAUUACAAGACAAAUGGAAAUUGAAGCUGUCAAUAUGGCGGAGAAGGGAAAUUUAACAGAGGCCCUAAGGAUUAUAAACGAAGCAAUAGAAUUAGCUCCUAGUAGACCAUCUUUGUACAACAAUCGGGCGAAUAUACUACAAUAUCUACGUAGAUUUGAAGAUGCAUUUGAAGAUGUAACCAAAGCCAUACAGCUAUGUUCAGAUAAACACAAAAAAACGUUAAGUUUGGCAUACUGCCAAAGAGGUAUACUUCAUAAAAUAUUCGAACGGACAGAUUCAGCAAGAGAAGAUUUUGAGACAUCGGCGAAAAUGGGCAAUAAAUUUGCCAGGAAGCAGGUAUGUUGAACAUCGUGUCAAACAAUAUAAUUACAUAUCUAGUAAUCAGUUCUAAAAAUGAGACAUCGGCGAAAAUGGGCAAUAAAUUUGCCAGGAAGCAGCUUGUCGAGUUAAAUCCAUAUGCAGCAUUAUGCAAUCAAAUGCUAAGACAAGUGAUGGACAAAUUAAAAUAAAUAUUAUUUACAAGUAUGUUUAAUUAUAUAUUUAAGUGUACACCACAAUAUUUUAUUUAAUAUAAUUUUAAAUGCAUUAACCUGUCGUAAAUCAUUUUAAUAACUAUAAUAAAUAGGUCGGCCCUUUAAAAUCUCUUUAUAAAGAUAAAAGGACGUUAUCGGAGUGGACCCUGUAUACACUCUCAAAAUAAAUAGCACCAACUAUCAAAUUAUACCAGAUAAAUAAAAGUAAGUAGAUUUCAACUAUACUCGUAUAUCAGAGGGAUUUAAAUAAUAUAUAAAUAAUUUAAUAAAAGUAGUAGCUUGGUUUAAAGACGCACUUCCCUGACUUUGCAUAAUUUUUAUGGAUUUUCUUAAUAAUUUAAUUAGAAUAAAGAUCUGUAUUAUAAGAAUUAUUAGCAAUCAAGAAGCAGGAGAAUCCGAUGAUAUCAAAAGCAAACGUGGGUUCGGCAGGAAUGUAUAUUAUCACCUCUGCUGUUCAAAAUAUACUCUGAGGAAAUCUUCAAGAAGCAGUGGGGGAUGUUGAAGAUGGAAUUCGAAUUAACGGAGAAUGUAUGAAUAACAUCAGAUACGCGGACGGCACGGUGGUAUUCGUUGAUAGUUAUGAAACCCCAGGUGUUAAUGAAUAGAAUCACAGAAGUAAAUCGAGAGACAUGGAGUUUCACUAAACAUUAAGUAAACAAAAUGUACGAUUAUCUCUAAGAAGGAACAUCAAUUUAAACGAAUAAGUGUGAACGGUCAACGAAUAGAAAGAACAAAAACCAUACGCCUACCUUGGUACGAACGUUAAUGAAAAUUGGAACGAUUCCCUAAAAGUCAAAUGUUGGAUAGAGAAAGCAAAAUCUGCAUUUCAAAAAGCUAUUCAUGAUAUGUCAUGAUCAUGAUUUAUCAAUAUCCAUAAAAUCAGGUUACUAGUAUUAUAUCUUCCUUAUAUUGUUGCACGGAGCACGGAGUUGAGACGUGGACUCUCACAGACGCUACCUGAAAGUUAAGGCUUUCGAAAUGUGGCUUUAUCGUCAAAUCCUGAAGAUAUCUUAUACCGACCGCGUUACUUAUUAGGAAAACAGCCAAAAUCGAAUACCUCGGUCACAUCAUGAGGAACAGCGAAAUAUAUGGAUUGUUGCAACUAACUUUACAGGGAAAAGUAGAAGAAAAACGAGAAGUAGAAGGAUUUCCUGGCUGAAAAAUCUAUGUACAUGGUUUAACACAACAACUACGCAUCUUUUCAGAGCAGUAGUGUGCAAAGUACAGAUUGCCAUGAUGGUCGCCAACAUCUGAAACGGAUAGGCACUACAAGAAGAAGCUUAUGCUGCUGUUUUUUUUUUGUAUGUUUGUAUUGUCUGUUUUAAUAUCCUUUUAAUUACCCUUGUACUUUUAACAAUCCAACUAUAAGUAAAUGUGAAUUUUUCUUAAAAAAAUUUUAGCAAAAUCAUUUAAUACGUAUUAUCAUAAAUAGAAAAUGAAAAAAGUCAAUAGUAUGUCUUUAAACCAAGUAUCAAUAAUUUAUUCAUAAAAAAGAUCCAGAUUCAUUCUAAAUCUCAAAAAAAUUGAUUUCAAACACUAAAACUGAUUUAAAAAAAAUCCGAUUAAAAAUCAGAACAUUUACUUCAAAAAUUGUUGAUAGAAAAUGUUGAGUAUUAUUAUAAUCGUUAUAUUUCCCAAUUAAAACAAAAAAAACUCUCAAUGCUUAUUUAGAAUAAUAUAAACGUGUUACAGAGUAUAUCCAUUACAAUUAAGAAAAAUAUUUUAUUACUUUGUCGAAUUCCAUAAACAAAUUUUUGAACAAUAAUUACAAUAUCCAUAAGAUAUGUUUUCUAGGGUCGUUAUUGCGUUUUCUUCUAUAGUAAUAUUAUUUACAAAGAAAAGUAAAUGGUACAGUUCUCUUCGCAGAUAUAUCAUACAUCGACGAUAUAAUAUAUCGAUUUUUAUAGACGAUAUAUAAGAUUUUUUUAAACAGAUGUUUCAAAUGCAUUGUUCAUGCAAAUCAAGUAGAAUUCUCUUUACAUAUUUUUCUGCAGUAUAUUUGAGGAUUCUGAUUGGCUUAUAAAAUUACUAAUUUUCAGUCAGUGAAAAGUAAUUAGUGCGCCUAUCUUUGAAAAAGCUAUAGCUUCAACGGGCGAUAUAUCUGUGGAGAGAACUUAGUCAACAUAAAAAAUAAAUAAAAUUGUUUAUGGAACAAGAAACCUAAAAACUUAACAACAAUCAUCUCCAAAGAUGGGUCAAACAUAAACAGGAAGUAUGCAAUAAGAAGGCAGAUGUAGCACAAUGUACAUGACUAUACUAUAUUUCAGACAUGCGAUUCAGUGUACGGAGAAUAGGGCCACUGCAAACUAAAUGAGAAUUUUGUUGAUAACGUUGCCGCUCUCAACGGCAGCGGCUGGAAAGAUAGUAUUAGGCAGGUACUUGUAGAGGAUUAUCACUGUUAACUGCUGUGAAAUACUAAAGGGGCAUUUAUUUAUGAUAAUUCACAGAAUGGCAAUCCCGCUUGCAAUAUACAACCAAACUGAUUCUAGCGUUUGAAACAGAGAAUAGUUACUUUACUAUCAAUAGAAACAUUUUGGAAUAAUCUGUACACAGUAUAUUAACAGGAAGGGCAUCAUCUACAAAGUAAAAUCUUUACUUUCUAUACGGAGAUAUGUGAUUCGUCUGGACGACAACGCUUAGCUGUAUAAGAUAUAUCUGUAUAAAUGCUGUAACUAUGUAACAAAGUG